rnacentral:rRNA from 1 species
CCUAAAAUUCCCAUGGCGAACUGCUUAGUAACACAUGAUCAACUUACCCUAUGGAGAAAAAUAACCUCGGGAAACUGAGGAUAAUGUUUCAUAGUUGAAUAGGCUUGGAAAAGUUUUUCAAUGAAUGGGAUAAGGAAAAUGGUUCUUAUCUGCCAUAGGAUAGGAUCGUGGUCGAUUAUGGUUGUUGGUGAGGUAACGGCUCACCAAGCCGAUAAUCGAUAGGGGCCGUGAGAGCGGGAGCCCCAAGAUGGGUACUGAGACAACGACCCAGGCCUUACGAGGCGCAGCAGGUGCGAGACCUCCGCAAUACACGAAAGUGUGACGGGGUUACCCAAAGUGUUCUCUUUUGAACUGUGGUAGGUGAGUAAUGUCCCCUACUAGAAAGGAGAGGGCAAGGCUGGUGCCAGCCGCCGCGGUAAAACCAGCUCUUCAAGUGGUCGGGAUAAUUAUUGGGCUUAAAGUGUCCGUAGCCGGUUUAGUAAGUUCCUGGUAAAAUCGGAUAGCUUAACUAUCCGCAUGCUAGGAAUACUGCUAUACUAGAGGGCGGGAGAGGUCUGAGGUACUAUAGGGGUAGGGGUGAAAUCUUAUAAUCCUUGUAGGACCACCAGUGGCGAAGGCGUCAGACUGGAACGCGCCUGACGGUGAGGGACGAAAGCCAGGGGAGCGAACCGGAUUAGAUACCCGGGUAGUCCUGGCCGUAAACGAUGCAUACUAGGUGAUGGUACGGCCGUGAGCCGUAUCAGUGCCGUAGGGAAACCGUUAAGUGUGCCGCCUGGGAAGUACGGUCGCAAGGCUAAAACUUAAAGGAAUUGGCGGGGGAGCACCACAAGGGGUGAAGCCUGCGGUUCAA